CGCGAGCUUCCAAAACUAGCGCAGAAAGGGGAAUCCCCGGUCCUGACGUCACUACACGGGGAAUUCACCCCUGCUACGUCACCCCCGACAACAAAAUGCUUCAGGUUAACGGGACAAAAGUCGCUAAUCAAAGUUUUACAAGAAGAACUCGUCGAUUCAACACUGCGAACAGCCAGCAGUGGAGAGGAAGCACUGGACUUAAUUACAAAUCUGAGUUGCCAGUCCAGGGAUUCAGACCUGCAACCUCCUGGUCACAGUCCUGCCUCUCUGCCUGGCUGCCUCUCUGAUUUAGGCAGAGGUGGAUUGAUAGCGCUCGGCAGAACACUUCAGAGCGCUCUGCGUGUCAAUAUGUGGGUGUAAAGUGAUUGGUGAUGGACGAGGCUCCGAUCAAUAUUCCACGAAUGGAACCAAAUUCAUCAUCCAUGUAAUUUUACUGGCUGAGAGGAACACGCCGUCCCCAAGUAUAGACCAUCCGUCCUGCAGGCAGCUGACAGGACACGUGCUGCUGCAGACACCGACCCGUGACACCUCGGUCACAGGUUCGACUCCCACAGUGGCAACAUCCUGCUGAAGUGUCCUGAGGCAAAGCAUCAAACCUCCACCUGCUCACAAUUAAUAUGUCAAAUAUACUGUCUGCCAAAAAUGUAUCAAGGGCUCUCUGAGUAGACAUUUUUUAUGGUCACAAGGUAAUUUUUAAGGUUUUAUCAAUAUUCCAGUGAGAGAUGCGUCUCUCGAGGCUUCAAGAUCAACCCAACAAUGAUCUGUUAUUUAACUAAUCCAAGAGCGUUUAAAACACACAGACUGUCCGGCCCAGAAAAACAAAGAGCUGCUAACUGGGCCUGUUACGUCUGCUUCCUGUUACGUAUCCUCCCCCGUCCUCCCCGAGAACAACACACAUUUAUACACAUACAGCGUACUGUGGGCUGAACACUGUGGAGCUCCACAAUGUCACUUUUUUUUUUUUUUUAAGAGGCCGGUGUGUUAACUCUGAAGCUUUCGAGCUUGACGGUUCAUUCUUGACCUUGAAAACAGCAGGUGACAAAACAAUCUCCACUCAAGAUCCACUUAGUCACGUGUUCUGGAGCUUUUGACCGCAUGAAACGGACGUUAUCGGCAGGAAAAGUUUGCUCAGUCGUCAUGGAAACAUAGUCGUCAUUGUUCUGAGCACUUUUAGGGACUUCUUGUCUGUGACAACUGAGCAAACUUCACAUGUUGAUGAAGACUGUUGGUUUCACACGGGAAACAAACCCCAGUGUCCCAUGUGAAAGUCCUGAGUGUGACCUCCUCCCAUCUCUAUACACUACGUUCGCCCUUAUUAGUUUGAAAGUCGUGCUGAGUGUCACAAAAAAAAUGGAGAAUAAGUGUCCAUGUACACAAAUCUAUAGAUGACAUUUUGUGACGGUUUCACGAACUGCUGCGAUGCUGGGUUGGAAUACAGCAUAUCUGCAAACAACUGCAGGAAUGAAGCCCAAAGGUUUUGUAGCAGCUGUAGCAGUGGAGUGAGAACUACGAUGCCUGGCUUCAGGAGGGUUUUUACUGAGGUAAAAGAGAAGGCAAUGAUUAAAAAAAGCUGCCAAAGUAAAUGAACCAGAAUCUAAGUCUUAUUCAGAUUAUUUUAACGGCAGAAUCUGGAGUACAAGGUCACCAAAGUUGCAGAAAAACAAUCUCUCUUCUGCAUUUGUUCUUGCACACACUGCUGUUCCAAAGUCAACAGCGUCGCAUUUUGUCAAUUCUGAUUAUGAAAACAAAUGACCCUCUGCUCGCAGGAGGCUGCAUACGAGCUCAUCUGUGACUUCCAAUCGAGGCGUCUUGGGUUUUUGGGCAAUUUACACCAGCAGCUUCCCACACGGACUGUAAAUCAUGUCUGACGUCAUGAAGGAGCAGGCCAGCUUCCACCAGAGCUGCGUUACACAGAAAUACACUGGAAGUGAGAAUGUGCAUUUGUUUAAGCUAAUUUAGUUUCAGUGUCUCCUUUUAUUUUGGCCAGGAAUUAGUCUAGCUGAGCUCAGGUCUAAGAUUUAUAGAGCUCCAGGUUAAAGAAUAGAGAGUGAGGCGUUUACACGUAAAGUAUUUAAAUAAAAAAAUAAAACACAGUCUGUUUGUGGUUGCAAGUAUGUAGGAAUGUGUUUCUAUAAAUGAUGAGCAGUGUGAAGCUGCCUCUAGGACCAAAAUACAAAUUCAGACACUUUGUACGCCCAAAAAUCCACCCAGACCUCCUACAGACAUUAGCUGUAGCCAGCUAGCUAAGUACCGAGUGUGUGUGUGUGAAGUGCAUUUCUGUUCAGCUCACCCUUUGACUAUCUCAGAACUCACUCACCAGAAGCUAUAUUUUGUUUCUGUUCAUGUCUGUUUAUGAAGUAGCUUCAUUGAACUUUGGGAUAAACAUGCGUGUUUUUUUGCUCAAGAUAAAACAUUUUCAUCUUGUCUUAACUUGUAUGUAAUUUUUUUUUUAUGUUCUGAACACACCAUAAGAGGUUUAGUGUCAGUCUAAUGUCGCGCUACUUGCAGAAUCAGUGGCAUCUUUUAAAUCACUUCUCAAAACGUAUCUUUUUAUUAAUGCUAGUUAGGGCAAAAAUCAUAAUCCCGAUUAUUUUGGUCAAUAUUGAGAUCACGAUUAUUUAACACGAUUACUCAUUGACUUAGGAGACAUCAUGCAUUUAUUGAACUUUAAAAAAAAAACUUUUUAGGACUGACCUGCUUAGAAGCUUCUACCGUUGCCAUGGUAAUCUGUAGUAAUCGAAUUUUAUCAACUUUAAACGGCAUCUUAGAGCACAAGAGGAUGAAAGCAACGCGGUGUUUCCCCUGGGUUGACUACCUGGGGGGGCGGAGCAGAGGAGAGACAGGUGAACUAGGCUACUGUUGAGGCAACUCGUUACGUGACAUAAACGCUGAAAUUAACCGUGGAGUUCUGUCGGGAGAUGCAGUCACUUAAAUCAACGGUGUUUGAGUGUUACCUGUUUACUCGGACAGACGGACGGACGGCGUAACCCACAGGGCUCACUACUUUCCUCCAAACUGUGUUCACAAAGAGAACAACAGUUGUCUAGUCUGCUGAGGGCAACAGAGCAUCGACAGAUCAGAGUGACAGUGCAUUUUAAGAACGCCGCCCACCGGAGUAUUUCAUUUUUCUCUCCUGUUUGGACGGUAGGUUGAACUCCAAAUCAAAAGCUACUGCCCUACUAGUGGAAAUGUGAACAUACAACACAAAUCGAGUUUAUACGGUAAA